UAAGCUAAUCCUAAUUAAUCCAUGGCAUGUUU
rnacentral:piRNA from 1 species